rnacentral:tRNA from 1 species
GCCCAGGUGGCGUAAUUGGUAAACGCGAUAGUUCGAGGGGCUAUUGCCUGAAUAAGGCGUGCGGGUUCAAGUCCCGCCCUGGGCACCG